GGCCUUAUGUAAGCUUUGUAAAGUGUCACCUUGUUCCGAAGGGACACUUUACUCCGCUUACAGAUCA
rfam:Bombyx mori DNA, contig: Bm_scaf4_contig4111, strain: p50T/Dazao, build 2, whole genome shotgun sequence.